rnacentral:rRNA from 1 species
GCUACACAUGCAAGUCGAGCGGUAGCACAGAGAGCUUGCUCUCGGGUGACGAGCGGCGGACGGGUGAGUAAUGUCUGGGAAACUGCCUGAUGGAGGGGGAUAACUACUGGAAACGGUAGCUAAUACCGCAUAAYGUCGCAAGACCAAAGUGGGGGACCUUCGGGCCUCAUGCCAUCAGAUGUGCCCAGAUGGGAUUAGCUAGUAGGUGGGGUAACGGCUCACCUAGGCGACGAUCCCUAGCUGGUCUGAGAGGAUGACCAGCCACACUGGAACUGAGACACGGUCCAGACUCCUACGGGAGGCAGCAGUGGGGAAUAUUGCACAAUGGGCGCAAGCCUGAUGCAGCCAUGCCGCGUGUAUGAAGAAGGCCUUCGGGUUGUAAAGUACUUUCAGCGGGGAGGAAGGCGAUAAGGUUAAUAACCUUGUCGAUUGACGUUACCCGCAGAAGAAGCACCGGCUAACUCCGUGCCAGCAGCCGCGGUAAUACGGAGGGUGCAAGCGUUAAUCGGAAUUACUGGGCGUAAAGCGCACGCAGGCGGUCUGUCAAGUCGGAUGUGAAAUCCCCGGGCUCAACCUGGGAACUGCAUUCGAAACUGGCAGGCUAGAGUCUUGUAGAGGGGGGUAGAAUUCCAGGUGUAGCGGUGAAAUGCGUAGAGAUCUGGAGGAAUACCGGUGGCGGAAGGCGGCCCCCUGGACAAAGACUGACGCUCAGGGUGCGAAAGCGUGGGGGAGCAAAACAGGGA